GUUUGAGAGAUGCUUUGAUAGUUUCACCAGUUCACCUAUUCUAGAAUUUAGCAAAAUUCUUUUGUUCUCAAAAUUGAGUUUAUCAGGUUAUUUCUAUUGCCAUUGCCCACUUUUUAGGAGGAGACAUUCAUUCCUUUAUUUUUUUUAAUAAACUAUUUUUUGAGGGAUAUCAAAUGGAGAAUCAAACCAUAAAGUUUUAUAAACUCUCAGUAGUUUCCCAAGUUUCCAUUGUCUUUUUUCCUCUCCUAAUGUUUGUACCCUUUAGACUUUCUCUCUUUUCUGAAAUUGUAAAAAAUUUGUUGAUGGAUUUGUUUGUAUAGUGCAGGCUGCAUACAACAUUGGUGGCCAUAUCAUAAGUGCAAAUGCUAUAGAACAUUCAAUAUUUUGCUUCCGAACUCCCCGAAUUGGACGGUGGCUAGAAAACAUCCUUUCCACUGCCUUGAGAAAAAAAUCCGGUGAAGAAAGACAACUCAGUUCAAAAUUGGGUCUUCCAAGUUCCCAACCCCUUGUCUGCUUUGCCCUUUGUACUGGAGCUUUUUCUGAUCCUGUGCUAAAAUUCUACACAGCAUCAAAUGUUAGAGAGGAAUUGGAAGCCGCGAAAAGAGAGUUUCUUCAAGCAAAUGUAGUGGUGAAGAAGUCUAGGAAAGUGUCUCUACCAAAGGUGCUGGAGAGAUAUGCUAGGGAAGCAUCUGUAAGCUCGGAUCAUCUUUUAACAUGGGUCUCUGAAAAUGUUGAUAAGAAGCUACAUGAUUCUAUACAUAAAUGCAUUGACCAGAAAUCCGGCAAGAGGGCAUCUCAGAUCAUAGAGUGGCUGCCUUACAGUUCAAGGUUCUGCUACUUGUUCUCAAAGGAUUUAACAGAGAAGCCAUGGUGGUUGUGAGGGUCUUCCCAAAUUUAUGCACUUUCUUCCGGACCACUGUAAUCUAACCUAAUAUCAGAUAAUUUUCUAAUGGCUUGAAUUUCGUAAUUUGAAAAUCUAUAAUUUCUCUAAAAUUGUAGAGAUUCUGAUCUGCUGAUUUUCUAGUCUGAUGAGCUUAACAUUGUAAUUGCAUGUAAUAUAUAGCACCAACUUUAGCUGUUGCGUGAGUAAGUUUGACUUCUUAAUGUAAGAACACUUUAAUGUAAUAUUAUUGAAGUAUUCAUUAUGAUUUA